rnacentral:rRNA from 1 species
UUGAACGCUGGCGGUAGGCUUAACACAUGCAAGUCGAACGAAGUAGCAAUACUUAGUGGCAGACGGGUGAGUAACAUGUAGGUAUCUACCCUUUGGUGAGGAAUAACACGAGGAAACUUGUGCUAAUACCUCAUAAGUCUUUACGGAGAAAGCUUUAUGCGCCGAAGGAUGAGCCUGCACUUGAUUAGUUUGUUGGUGGGGUAAUGGCCUACCAAGACUUUGAUCUAUAGCUGAUCUGAGAGGAUGAUCAGCCACAUUGGGACUGAGACACGGCCCAAACUCCUACGGGAGGCAGCAGUAGGGAAUAUUGCACAAUGGAGGAAACUCUGAUGCAGCGAUGCCGCGUGAGUGAAGAAGGCCUUUGGGUUGUAAAGCUCUUUCGUCGGGGAAGAAAAUGACUGUACCCGAAUAAGAAGGUCCGGCUAACU